AGAGUUUGAUCCUGGCUCAGGACGAACGCUGGCGGUGCGCCUUAUGCAUGCAAGUCGAGCGAAGCUUUUCAGUAGUUUACUACAGAAAAUGACUGAGCGGCGAACGGGUGAGUAACGCGUGAGCAAUCUACCUUAGUUACUGGGAUAGCCCGAGGAAACUCGGAUUAAUACCGGAUAAUCUUAUUACAUCACAUGAUAUUUUAAGUAAAGGUCAGCCGAACUAAGAUGAGCUCGCGUUCUAUCAGCUUGUUGGUGGGGUAAAAGCCUACCAAGGCUACGACGGAUAGCUGGUCUGAGAGGACGAUCAGCCACACUGGGACUGAGACACGGCCCAGACUCCUACGGGAGGCUGCAGCAGGGAAUAUUGCGCAAUGAGCGAAAGCUUGACGCAGCGACACCGCGUGUGGGAUGACGGUUCUAGGAUUGUAAACCACUUUCAGGAGGGAAGAAAAUGACGGUACCUCCACAAGAAGCCCCGGCCAACUACGUGCCAGCAGCCGCGGU
rnacentral:rRNA from 1 species